AUUUUAUCUGCGCGUUUUAUUCUAUCACAAGUUUAUACGCUUACAGCACAACCGCUACUAACCUAAAUUAAUCUCAUCAUACAUCAAUUAAUGCUGAUAUCAGAUUUGAUGGCAGUCUGUUUGGAGUGAGAUGUUUAGAGAGAGGUGUUUGGAGUGAGAUGAGAUGUUUGGAGUGAGAUGUUUAGAGAGAGGUGUGAGAUGUUUGGAGUGAGGUGUUUAGAGUGAGGUGUGAUGUUAGAAGUGAGAUGUGAUGUUUAGAGUGAGAUGUUUAGAGUGAGGUGUGAUGUUUGGAGUGAGAUGUUUGGAGUGAGGUGUUUAGAGUGAGGUGUUUAGAGUGAGGUGUUUAGAGUGAGGUGUUUAGAGUGAGGUGUGAUGUUUAGAGUGAGAUGUUUAGAGUGAGGUGUAUGGAGUGAGGUGUGAGAUGUUUAGAGUGAGAUGUUUAGAGUGAGGUGUGAUGUUUAGAGUGAGAUGUUUAGAGUGAGGUGUUUAGAGUGAGGUGUGAUGUUUAGAGUGAGAUGUUUAGGAGUGAGCUCCUACCUCUGUUCUUCCCCG
ensembl:lncRNA